UCCUAAGGUUGGAGGAGUUAGCAGAGAAACUUGCAAAGUUACCCAAAAGCCACCCCGACACCCACCAAGGUAAGGAGAAGUUGUUAAUUAUAUAUGAUGAUAGAAAAUGUGUGGAAUUUCUGAAUAUGUAUAUGAUUUGAGAUGAUUUGCCCUACGUGGUAAUGUGAAUGACUUGCCCUACGUGGUAUUGUGAAUGACUUGCCCUACGUGGUAUUGUAAUGACUUGCCCUACGUGGUAAUGUGAAUGACUUGCCCUACGUGGUAUUGUGAAUGACUUGCCCUACGUGGUAAUGAGAAUGACUUGCCCUACGUGGUAACGAUAUGUGUGGUAUUGAUGAAUAAAGUGACAAGGUAUGAUAGGGAUGAAUGUAUGGAAAAAAGAUGAUGAAUGAGGUAGUAUGAGAUGGACAAUAUGAUAUGAUGAUUUUAUAUUCAAAUGCCAAGUCGUUUAUUUAACCCUUUUAAAAUGUGG